GUCUACAGCCAUGCCACCCUGAACAAGCCCGAUCCCAUCUGAUCUUGGAAGCUAAGCAGGGUCAGGCCUGGUUAGGAUGGGAGAUCACCUAGGAAGACAAGGUGCUGCGGGUA
rnacentral:rRNA from 1 species